GACGUAGGAGGCAAGCGUUAUCCGGAGUUACUGGGCGUAAAGCGCGUGUAGGCGGGUGGAUAAGUGGUUCGUGAAAUAUCCAGGCUAAACCUGGGGGAGGACGAAUCAGACUGUUCAUCUGGAGGCGGGUAGAGGGGGUGCGGAAUUCCGGGUGUAGCGGUGAAAUGUGUAGAUAUCCGGAGGAACACCAGAGGUGCAGACGGCGCCCUGGGCCCGACCUGACGCUGAGACGCGAAAGCUUGGGGAGCGAACAGG
rnacentral:rRNA from 1 species